rnacentral:rRNA from 1 species
AGCCAUGCGAGUCAUUGUAGCAAUACAAGGCAGACGGCUCAGUAACGCGUAGUCAAUCUACCCUAUGGACGGGAAUAACCUCGGGAAACUGAGAAUAAUGCCCGAUAGAACAUUAUACCUGGAACGGUUUAUGUUUCAAAUGAUUUAUCGCCGUAGGAUGGGACUGCGGCCUAUCAGUUUGUUGGUGAGGUAAUGGCCCACCAAGACUAUUACAGGUACGGGCUCUGAGAGGAGUAGCCCGGAGAUGGGUACUGAGACACGGACCCAGGCCCUAUGGGGCGCAGCAGGCGAGAAAACUUUGCAAUGUGCGAAAGCACGACAAGGUUAAUCCGAGUGGUUUCUGCUAAAGAAACCUUUUGCUAGUCCUAGAAACACUAGUGAAUAAGGGGUGGGCAAGUUCUGGUGUCAGCCGCCGCGGUAAAACCAGCACCUCAAGUGGUCAGGAUGAUUAUUGGGCCUAAAGCAUCCGUAGCCCGUUUUGUAAGUUUUCGGUUAAAUCCAUACGCUCAACGUAUGGGCUGCCGGGAAUAUUGCAUAACUAGGAAGUGGGAGAGGUAGACGGUACUCGGUAGGAAGGGGUAAAAUCCUUUGAUCUAUUGAUGACCACCUGUGGCGAAGGCGGUCUACCAGAACACGUUCGACGGUGAGGGAUGAAAGCUGGGGGAGCAAACCGGAUUAGAUACCCGGGUAGUCCCAGCUGUAAACUAUGCAAACUCAGUGAUGCAUUGGCUUGUGGCCAAUGCAGUGCUGCAGGGAAGCCGUUAAGUUUGCCGCCUGGGAAGUACGUACGCAAGUAUGAAACUUAAAGGAAUUGGCGGGGGAGCACCACAAAGGGUGAAGCCUGCGGUUCAAUUGGAGUC